UUUAUCAUACAUUAAUAUAAGAGCUUAAUCGUAAAGUAAACCUUGCACACUCCUAUAGGAAAAGGCUUUGAACACUUUUCCCUAUUACACACACAUUUACCUUUUUCGAAUGAAGACACAAGAGUACAACUGUGACAUCGCACACUACACCUAUACACCAUUUUCAAUCUCCUUCUUGGUUUACCUCACCCUACUAGCUAGAUCCAUUCAUGACUCCAUUGGACAUUUGGUUACAUCAGCUAUAUAACUUUUC
rnacentral:lncRNA from 1 species